GGAGCCGUAGCCGGUUUGGUAAGUUCUUGGUUAAAUCUGACAGCUUAACUGUCAGCGUGCUAAGAAGACUGCCUUACUAGGGGGCGGGAAAGGUCUGAGGUACUCCAGGGGUAGCGGUGAAAUGUGAUAAUCCUUGGGGGACCACCAGUGGCGAAGGCCGUCAGACCUGGAACGCGCCCGUCGGUGAGGGUCGAAAGCUAGGGGAGCGAACGGGAUCAGAUACCCCGGUAGUCCUAGCUGUAAACGAUGCGUGCUAGGUGUUGGUAGGGCUAUGAGCUGUAUCAGUGCCGUAGGGAAACUGUUAAGCACGCCGCCUGGGAAGUACGCUCGCAAGAGUGAAACUUAAAGGAAUUGGCGGGGGAGCACCACAAGGGGUGAAGCCUGCGGUUCAAUUGGACUCAACGCCGGGAAACUUACCGGGGGCGACAGCAGAAUGAAGGUCAGGCUGACGACCUUACCAGACAAGCUGAGCGGAGGUGCAUGGCCGUCGCCAGUUCGUGCCGUGAGGUAUCCUGUUAAGUCAGGCAACGAACGAGACCCACAUGUCUAGUUGCCAGCAAGAGGCUUCGGCUUCGUUGGGAACGGUAGACAGACUGCCAUCGUACAGAUGGAGGAAGGGGUGGGCACGGC
rnacentral:rRNA from 1 species